rnacentral:tRNA from 1 species
GCGAAACUCAGGGUGGAUACCGAGUGUUGCGCUCCGAAGGUGGACGCCCCGCGUUCGAAUCGCGGCGGGUGCGCCA